ensembl:snRNA U6 U6 spliceosomal RNA
GUGCUUACUUUGACAGCAUAUAUACUAAAAUUGGAAUGAUACAGAGAAGAUUAGCAUGGCCCCUGUGUGAGGAUGACAUGUAAAUUUGUGAAGCAUUCCAUAUUUUU